rnacentral:rRNA from 1 species
CAGGGAAUCUUGCACAAUGGGCGAAAGCCUGAUACAGCGACGCCGCGUGGGGGAUGAAGGCCUUAGGGUCGUAAACCCCUUUCAGCAGGGACGAAAAUGACGGUACCUGCAGAAGAAGCCCCGGCCAACUACGUGCCAGCAGCCGCGGUAAGACGUAGGGGGCGAGCGUUGUCCGGAUUUAUUGGGCGUAAAGAGCUCGUAGGCGGUUGCGUAAGUCGGAUGUGAAAACUCAGGGCUCAACCCUGAGACGCCAUCCGAUACUGCGCUGACUUGAAUCCAGUAGGGGAGUGUGGAAUUCCUGGUGUAGCGGUGAAAUGCGCAGAUAUCAGGAGGAACACCCAUGGCGAAGGCAGCACUCUGGGCUGGUAUUGACGCUGAGGAGCGAAAGCAUGGGUAGCGAACAGGAUUAGAUACCCUGGUAGUCCCUGAGCGGGCUGGCAAGGCGCAU